GACGAACGCUGGCGGCGUGCCUAAUACAUGCAAGUCGAGCGAGCUUGCCUAGAUGAAUUUGGUGCUUGCACCAAAUGAAACUAGAUACAAGCGAGCGGCGGACGGGUGAGUAACACGUGGGUAACCUGCCCAAGAGACUGGGAUAACACCUGGAAACAGAUGCUAAUACCGGAUAACAACACUAGACGCAUGUCUAGAGUUUAAAAGAUGGUUCUGCUAUCACUCUUGGAUGGACCUGCGGUGCAUUAGCUAGUUGGUAAGGUAACGGCUUACCAAGGCAAUGAUGCAUAGCCGAGUUGAGAGACUGAUCGGCCACAUUGGGACUGAGACACGGCCCAAACUCCUACGGGAGGCAGCAGUAGGGAAUCUUCCACAAUGGACGCAAGUCUGAUGGAGCAACGCCGCGUGAGUGAAGAAGGGUUUCGGCUCGUAAAGCUCUGUUGGUAGUGAAGAAAGAUAGAGGUAGUAAACUGGC
rnacentral:rRNA from 1 species